AAAAAAACAAAUCAUGAGUUUUCGUAUCCAACGUUUGACUGUUUAUCUUAUAUAAAUUUUUUUAUAAUUAGUAUUUUCAUUAUUGUUAGAUGAUAAAACAUGAUUAAUACUUUAUACGUGACUGUCUUUUUAAUUUUUUUCUUAAUUUUUUACAAAUAAGACGGACGAUCAAACACUGGACACGGAAACCUAGGGUUUGUCUUUUU
rfam:Oryza sativa Japonica Group DNA, chromosome 7, cultivar: Nipponbare, complete sequence.